CAGUCGCCGCGGUAAUACGAAGGGUGCAAGCGUUAAUCGGAAUUACUGGGCGUAAAGCGUGCGUAGGCGGUGAGUUAAGUCUGCUGUGAAAUCCCCGGGCUCAACCUGGGAAUGGCAGUGGAUACUGGCUCGCUAGAGUGUGUCAGAGGAUGGUGGAAUUCCCGGUGUAGCGGUGAAAUGCGUAGAGAUCGGGAGGAACAUCAGUGGCGAAGGCGGCCAUCUGGGACAACACUGACGCUGAGGCUCGAAAGCGUGGGGAGCAAACAGGAUUAGAUACCCCCGUAGUCCCUGUCUCUUAUAC
rnacentral:rRNA from 1 species